rnacentral:rRNA from 1 species
UUGGUAAUCGUAAGAGUGAUCCUAUGCUGCCUAGAAAAGCUUCGUGAGCGAGAUAUUAGCCGCCCGUACCCCAAACCGACACAGGUGGAUAGGUAGAGAAUACUAAGGCGAUCGAGAUAACCAUGGUGAAGGAACUCGGCAAAAUACCCCCGUAACUUCGGAAUAAGGGGGACCUGAGACGUAUUAGAAUUUACUUCGAAAGCGUCGAGGGUCGCAGAGACCAGGCCCAAGCGACUGUUUACUAAAAACACAGGUCCGUGCUAAGUCGUAAGACGAUGUAUACGGACUGACUCCUGCCCGGUGCUGGAAGGUUAAGGGGAAGGGUUAGCUUCGGCGAAGCCUUGAACUUAAGCCCCAGUAAACGGCGGUGGUAACUAUAACCAUCCUAAGGUAGCGAAAUUCCUUGUCGGGUAAGUUCCGACCUGCACGAAUGGAGUAACGACUUGGGCGCUGUCUCCACCAUGGACUCGGCGAAAUUGCACUACGAGUAAAGAUGCUCGUUACGCGCAGCAGGACGGAAAGACCCCGGGACCUUCACUAUAGUUUGGUAUUGGUGAUCGGAGUGACUUGUGUAGGAUAGGUGGGAGACUUUGAAGCUUGGACGCCAGUUCAGGUGGAGUCAUCGUUGAAAUACCACUCUGGUCACUUUGGUUAUCUAACCUAGGUCCAUUAUCUGGAUCAGGGACAGUGCCUGAUGGGUAGUUUGACUGGGGCGGUCGCCUCCUAAAAGGUAACGGAGGCGCCCAAAGGUUCCCUCAGCCUGGUUGGCAAUCAGGUUUCGAGUGUAAGUGCACAAGGGAGCUUGACUGCGAGAGAGACAUCUCAAGCAGGGACGAAAGUCGGGACUAGUGAUCUUCUGGUGGCACAUGGAAGCGCCAGGACUCAACGGAUAAAAGGUACCCCGGGGAUAACAGGCUGAUCUUGCCCGAGCGUCCAUAGCGACGGCAUGGUUUGGCACCUCGAUGUCGGCUCGUCGCAUCCUGGGGCUGGAGUCGGUCCCAAGGGUUGGGCUGUUCGCCCAUUAAAGCGGCACGCGAGCUGGGUUUAGAACGUCGUGAGACAGUUCGGUCCCUAUCCGCUGCGCGCGUAGGAGUCUUGAGAAGAGCUGUCCUUAGUACGAGAGGACCGGGACGGACUAACCUCUGGUGUGCCAGUUGUUCUACCAAGAGCACGGCUGGUUGGCUACGUUGGGAAGUGAUAACCGCUGAAAGCAUCUAAGCGGGAAGCACGCUUCAAGAUGAGGGCUCCCACAGAAUAAUCUGGUAAGGCCCCCUAUAGACCAUGGGGUGAUAGGUCGGAUGUGGAAGUGCAGCAAUGCACGGAGCUGACCGAUACUAAUAGGCCGAGGGCUUGUUC